rnacentral:rRNA from 1 species
UACGGAGGGUGCGAGCGUUGUCCGGAAUCAUUGGGCGUAAAGAGCGUGUAGGCGGCUCGAUAAGUCCGCUCUGAAAGCCCGGGGCUCAACCCCGGGAGGCGGGCGGAUACUGUCGAGCUAGAGUCCGGAAGAGGCGAGUGGAAUUCCUGGUGUAGCGGUGAAAUGCGCAGAUAUCAGGAGGAACACCAAUGGCGAAGGCAGCUCGCUGGGACGGUACUGACGCUGAGACGCGAAAGCGUGGGGAGCAAACAGG